AGCAAACAGGAUUAGAUACCCUUGGUAGUCCCACGCCCGUAAACGAUGUCGACUUGGAGUUUGUGCCCUUUGAGGCGUGGCUUCCGGAGCUAACGCGUUAAGUCGACCGCCUGGGGAGUAACGGCCGCAAGUUUAAAACUCAAAUGAAUUGACGGGGGCCCGCACAAGCGGUGGAGCAUGUGGUUUAAUUCGAUGCAACGCGAAGAACCUUACCUACUCUUGACAUCCAGAGAAUUCNGUAGAGAUACNUUNGUGCCUUCGGGAACNCUGAGACAGGUGCUGCAUGGCUGUCGUCAGCUCGUGUUGUGAAAUGUUGGGUUAAGUCCCGCAACGAGCGCAACCCUUAUCCUUUGUUGCCAGCGGUCCGGCCGGGAACUCAAAGGAGACUGCCAGUGAUAAACUGGAGGAAGGUGGGGAUGACGUCAAGUCAUCAUGGCCCUUACGAGUAGGGCUACACACGUGCUACAAUGGCGCAUACAAAGAGAAGCGACCUC
rnacentral:rRNA from 1 species